AAGCACUGCCUUUGAACUUGAAGAAUUGCCUUGAAGACUGAUGUCUUGUAGCUUCCUGGGCUAAGUAACAGUGCUAGAGUGUGAGGAUUUGUUAUAACUGGGGCUCUUUAGCUCUCAACUAAACUGCUUUUUUAAAAACAAGGUGCACUU
rnacentral:snoRNA from 1 species